ensembl:snRNA U2 U2 spliceosomal RNA
AUCACUUCUCGGCCUUUUGGCUAAGAUCAAGUAUAGUAAUCUUAGGAAAUGUCCCUGUCAAAUAGCAAGAACUCAGAAAUUAUAACAAUGUUUAGUGAUAUUAAAGGUUCUAAUGUACCUGUCUCAUACCUAGGGAGCUUGUAUGCUUUUUCUACUUUUGCAAAAUUUCUCUAAAGACUUCU